GAUGAAGAACGCAGCGAAAUGCGAUACGUAAUGUGAAUUGCAGAAUUCAGUGAAUCAUCGAAUCUUUGAACGCAUAUUGCGCUCUCUGGUAUUCCGGAGAGCAUGCUUGUUUGAGUAUCAGUAAACACCUCAACUUCCAUAUCUUUUUUGAAAUGGGAGUUGGACUUGAGUGAUCCCAACGCUUUUCCCCACCGAAAAGUGGCGGGUUACUUGAAAUGCAGGUGCAGCUGGACUUUUCUCUGAGCUAUAAGCAUAUCUAUUUAGUCUGCCUAAAAAACAGAUUAUUACCUUUGCUGCAGCUAACAUAAAGGAGAUUAGUUCUUGUGCUGACUGAUGCAGGAUUCACAAAGACAGGCUUCGGCCGACUUUGUAAACUCGAUCUCAAAUCAAGUAAGACUACCCGCUGAACUUAAGCAUAUCAAUAAGCGGAGGA
rnacentral:misc_RNA from 1 species